GACAAGACAAGACUGGACCAAUGAGGAGAGAGAAGACACAGAGGACUGAGGAGACGCUGGAAAUCCUGCUGGAAAUCCAGAGAAGAUGUUUCCUGAUGCAUCAGGGGGACAACUGAGGACGGGACACAGCAUAAAGAGACAGAGAUCAUGUGAAAUUCAAGGAUGGCCUUUCAACCCUGGAUGUCAUUUAUGCUUCGGAGCUUCAUUCUUCUGUGUUCAGGCCCUUUAUGUGCACAAGGGUGGAAAAGCUGACAUCAGAAAUGUUAGAGGAAAUCUGUGAAGUUCAGCUCAGCGAAAAGGACAGCACCAGACGACAAGAAGAAACCAGACUGCUAGGAUUCUCCUUGAGACAGACCAAACCUCGCUUUCCUGUUCAAACACUGUCAAGAUACCAAAGCCCAAAACAAAUGAUCAAUUCCAAAAAACAUGGACUUUGGGAUAAAAACUCUUUGGACUUUAUUAAGUUCAAAUACAGAAUCACAAAACAUAAAUGUGGAUGUUGGCCUGUGAAGGCAGAUGUUAACUUGUGAAACCUGCUCUGUUCAACUGUCACUACCAACUGUUAUGACUAUUGUUGAAAACUGUUGUAAUGCUUCAUUGUAUUUACAUGUAAAUAUUAGAAAUGAACAUUUUUAUGUCAUCAAAAAUUGUUGCAAUAAAAAGUGACAUACUAUUAA